CAUUAUGUGGGUUCUCUCUGGGGCUGGUUCCAUAUACGUUAUUGACCACUCUUCUUUGAAGCGUAUAUGUACGAUUAGCCGUUAAACAGCUAUAUGUUGAGCAUUUACAAUGUGCUAGGCGUUAUGUUGUAGGAGGUACUACCUCCGUGUUUUCAUGGAUCUUAUUCUGCAGACAGAAAAAGUGUCCUGACUGCACAGAAUUCCCCAUGAGCCUGUAGCAGAGGGACCUGAACUGAUUAGAAAGUGACAGUUAAGCUGAGAAAAAAGGAUCAAAACGGGCCUCAGGGAGGCAAGCGCAGAAGUCUUGAAGUCGGAUGAAAUACAAGCCAUUGGAGAUCAAGGAAAAGCAAUGCCAGAAGUCAUUUGUGGAUACCGUCUUUCCAGACUUCAGUGGCUGGAAAGCCACCUUUCAAUCAACACGUGCGUCCACCAGGAGAUGGCAAAGGGCACCAUGGAUGUCACUACUCUGCUGUGGCUGAAUGCAAAGAUCUGGAGUGGAUUUUCUUCAUGUAACUUGAAGGGUAAAAGGCUCUUCCCAGCAGGUGCCAUGAUCCAGAUUUAGAAAAGGUGCUGGGGUACCAGGGUCAAGGGAUCAAGGCAAUUUUUCAGAGGUUCGCCUCCUUCUGGCUUGCAGUCAUGGCUGAGCCCCUGGGUUCUUGGAUUCUUCACCAAUGGGAAGUGAAGGAAUUGGAGAUACGACAAGCCCACCUUCAACAAAGCCUUGGGUGGGUACUGAGGACAUUCCAAAGGACAGGCUGUUGCCUGAUAUGCCCACUGCAGUAGUGGUGGUAUUCUGACAGAAAGUUUCACUGGAGGUGGCUCCAAACCCAGGUUUGUUGUCAGGCGUGCUGGCCACACUGAAGACCUGGUUUGUCUGGUUGGGUGUGCCCGGGAUGCUCUGACGUAAGCUCCCCCCAUAAUGGGUGGUAGUGCUCGUGGUCCCAUUCUGUCCUGCUCUGAUGGAAAACUCUCCUGAUGUGGAUCUAGAGCCUGGAGUAGACACACUGAUUCCAAAGCCUCCACUGCCAGCUGGAACUGCUGAUGCCGCCAAUGUGUAGCGGCCAAACACUGAGCCACUGGUCCCACUGCUGUUUGGGUUGUAGCUCUAAAGCCAGACGUGGUGGCUGUGUGGCCUGGGGUAUCCUCACUCAUCUCAACUUCUUCACUGGCAGGUACGACUGCCAAUGUCCCCAACAAGAAGGGACCAAACACUGAUCUAUGGGGCCCAUCUCUGGUGUUUUCAGUUAUAGCUGCAAAGGCAAGGUAUUGUGGGUGCAGCAAAACUAUCACCUGAGGUAUCCUCACUCAUCUCAACGUCUUAACGGCAGGUGGAGCUACUGAUGUCCCCAAUGGUAAGGGGCCAGAUAUUGAACUAAUGGAGUCUCUGCUUCUGGUUUGGGUUGUGACUCUAAAACUGGGGGUGGAGGGUCUAGUGAGGGAGAAAACAGCCAUGGUGGUAGCAAAGGCUGGCUGAGUGCUGGCAGGUGUGCCAAAGGCAGAGGCUAUGGUUACCAAACCUCCAAAAACUGAAUGUGCGGCACUGUCAAAGCCUGACUGGUGUAGGGUUGGUGUUGGCUUCGUAGCUGGGGCCAGGGCUGCAGAGUUUCCAUAUGCAAGAGUGCUUCCACAGUCUGGGGCAAGGCCUGGCUUGGUAGCCCAGUGUCGUUGCCCAUCAGUGGCCUUACAUAAAGGAUGGCAACUGGCUCCUGGAUAUGAUGGGAGAGGAGGUUUGUUGCUUGAGCCAAAGGGAAUGUUGAAUGCUGGGGUCAUUAUAUUACUGAAUGUCAGUGCUGACUGGCUGGUGGGGUCUGGGGCUGAGGUGGUCACAGUGCCACCAAAGCCAUGGAAGCCAGUGGAGCUGUUGGUGCUGGCUGUUGGUGCUGGCUGUCUGAACAGCACUGGGAGGGGACUGGCUGAAUCCAGAAGUGGUUACUGUGGUUGAUACAUGCUUGGAAGUACAUUUGCCGACCUGAAAGGUGGAGCCCUUGACUGGGAUAAAGCUGGUACUGGAGGCAGGGGGUACCCCAAAGAGAAAGGGCUGUGCAGUGAAAUGAGUGACAUUCCUCACAGUGCUUCUGGUACUGCUCACACUGCUGAGGCCAUGGCCAAAAGCAGGCUUCAAAGCAGGGUCUGCAGAAGUACCAGCUGUGCUAUUAGAUGCCACUGCAGAGGUGGCAGUGGCCAAGCUAGUGAGUCGAGGGGUAGUUGUGACUGGAGUACUGUCCCGAAUAGUUGUGUGCUUGAAGAAGGGAGCUGACAAGGGCACAGAUGUAGGCAGCCCUCUGUUGCUAAAGACAGGCUGAAAGGUCAGGACUGAGGUGGUGGUGGUCAUGGGGAAGGUGGAGCUACAGUGUGCUGUGCUCAAGAAUGAAUAUCAUACAAUGAAUAAAAAAGAGAAGGUAAAGUUCAAUAUGACAUAGAAAGAUCCCAGGGACAUUUUUCUAGUGAAAAAUCAAGUUACAGAGCAAUAGGAACAGUGUAAUCUCUCUUAUGUUUUGAAGAAAACCACAAAAUGAAAAUUAGAAAAGAUAAAACAUUUUUAUGAGUCAGGCAUGGUAGUGGCCACCUAUUGUCCCAGGAGGCAGAGGUGGGAGGCCAGUCUGGGCAAUGAGUCAGGCAUGGUAGUGGCCACCUAUUGUCCUUGGGAGGCAGAGGUGGGAGGCCAGUCUGGGCAAUGUAACCUAUGGAGAUCUCAGUCUUGAAAAGUAAAAAAGAAAAAGAACCAUACUGUGAACACAGAUCACAGAAAAAGAGGGCUUGAUGGUAUAGACUAGUUCAGUAGACCAGCCAGUGACACCUGAAAAUAAAAGGAAACUUGAUUUAGAUGAAAGUCAGAAUUCAGAAUGAGUUUGGGGCUCAGAAGUUUGCUCUGUGUUGGGAUGUCACUAGUAGGGGUGAGGAGGAGGAAAGGUCUGGGUUGAGUUCAUCUUGUUGUUAACAAAAAUUAGUGGGCAACAGAAAGGAAGAAUUUACGUAGAAACAUAUUAAUCUUGAAUCUAUUAAAUUGGAAGUUAUAAAAUUGUUACAAAUCCCUGUUGAUGAGAGUUUAUUUUUUAAGUUUAACUCCUUAUCUAUUUCUCUGAUUUUUUCCCUCAACUCCUUAUCUAUUAAAUUUCAGUAGUCCAGCUAAGAUAACUCUUUUUGGUGAGGUGUGAACAAAUGAAUGAAUGAAUGAAUGAAUGAAUAAAACAUGCACAUACAUGCUGGUUUUAUAACGAGGUUCUCUUUCAAGGGUGAUUGAUUUAAUACACCCAAAUUCAUGUUUUCACUCUUCACAUUGAGCUCUCCAUAGUCCAGCUGAUGCUGUACGGCUAACCAGCAAUUCCACCUGGGAUAUUCCCAGGCUGAUGCCAGCUCUAUGAACCUGACCCAUCUGCAUUCUAACCCACUUUUGGUUCUUGCUGAACUGAUACAGGAUGUAUUUGCAAGGAGCUUCAGAUUGUAAUAUAUUACUUAUUCACUUUAUAAGAGGGCCUUGUUUUUAUAUGCCAGUUAAGAUGUUCACCAUAGAGGGAGGAGCCAUGAUAGCUGACUAGAAGCAGCUUUCUCUAGAGGCUUCUGUGCAGAGGGAGAAAUA